CCUCCCACCCGUGUUGCCCGAACCUAUGUUGCCUCGGCGGGCCCCGCGCCCGCCGACGGCCCCCCUGAACGCUGUCUGAAGUUGCAGUCUGAGACCUAUAACGAAAUUAGUUAAAACUUUCAACAACGGAUCUCUUGGUUCCGGCAUCGAUGAAGAACGCAGCGAAAUGCGAUAACUAAUGUGAAUUGCAGAAUUCAGUGAAUCAUCGAGUCUUUGAACGCACAUUGCGCCCUCUGGUAUUCCGGAGGGCAUGCCUGUCCGAGCGUCAUUGCUGCCCUCAAGCCCGGCUUGUGUGUUGGGCCCCGUCCCCCCCGCCGGGGGGACGGGCCCGAAAGGCAGCGGCGGCACCGCGUCCGGUCCUCGAGCGUAUGGGGCUUCGUCACCCGCUCUAGUAGGCCCGGCCGGCGCCAGCCGACCCCCAACCUUUAAUUAUCUCAGGUUGACCUCGGAUCAGGUAGGGAUACCCGCUGAACUUAAGCAUAUCAAUAAGCGGAGGAA
rnacentral:rRNA from 1 species